rnacentral:rRNA from 1 species
AGCGAACGCUGGCGGCAGGCCUAACACAUGCAAGUCGAACGGAUCCUUCGGGAUUAGUGGCGGACGGGUGAGUAACACGUGGGAACGUGCCCUUUGGUUCGGAACAACUCAGGGAAACUUGAGCUAAUACCGGAUGUGCCCUUCGGGGGAAAGAUUUAUCGCCAUUGGAGCGGCCCGCGUCUGAUUAGCUAGUUGGUGAGGUAAAGGCUCACCAAGGCGACGAUCAGUAGCUGGUCUGAGAGGAUGAGCAGCCACAUUGGGACUGAGACAUGGCCCAAACUCCUACGGGAGGCAGCAGUGGGGAAUCUUGCGCAAUGGGCGAAAGCCUGACGCAGCCAUGCCGCGUGAAUGAUGAAGGUCUUAGGAUUGUAAAAUUCUUUCACCGGGGACGAUAAUGACGGUACCCGGAGAAGAAGCCCCGGCUAACUUCGUGCCAGCCGCCGCCGUAAUAC